UAAUUGAAGAGUUUGAUCAUGGCUCAGAUUGAACGCUGGCGGCAGGCUUAACACAUGCAAGUCGAACGGUAACAGAAGAAAGCU
rnacentral:rRNA from 1 species